AGCCAAGAUUGCAUGUGGAUGUGAUGGUAAUGAUACAUUCAUAGAAGACUGCACUCAAAUACAAGGCUUAUUUGUUUCUCAAUCAGCAUGCUGUGUGAAGUCAGUCUACUGGCUUUCUACUUCAGCUUCCUUUGAAGCUUAUGAACCCGCUGCCUGAAACGGAAUGGUCCAGGCCGAGCGAAGAUCACCAGGAAACAUAGCUUAAACAGAAAUUCAUCUUGCAUCAGUCUUCAUCAGUCAACAUGUUUGUUUUGCAUCCGUAUUUCUAAAUCCUCAGUCUUGCCUUCUCUAUCGCUGCUCUUUAACAUUUCCAUUAUCAGCAAUGUGAUAAAUAUCUUGGAGGUUUGUCCAAACAGUCCAGGAUUGUGUUUGAUGGAAAAUCUGACAUGACCUUCCAAGCUUAACAUCUAUUCAUCAGUAGUGAGUAUAUAGAAACUGUAGUUUGAUUCUCCUCCU